CUAAAUUGGCAGAUUAGUGCAAUUGAAUUAGAAUCUUUAUAUAAAAUAAUAUUUUAUUUAGUA
rnacentral:tRNA from 1 species